ensembl:lncRNA
CGGGAUAUAUGCUAAGGGCUAGGCAUAAAAUGGUAAGUAAGACAGAUACACAUUCCUCUCAUGGAGUUUACAUUCUAGUAGGGGACAAAGCUCGGAGAAGGCAAUGGCACCCCACUCCCGUACUCUUGCCUGGCAAAUCCCAUGGACUGAGGAGCCUGGUAGGCUGCAGUCCAUGGGGUUGCUAGGAGUUGGACACGACUGAGCGACUUCACUUUGACUUUUCACUUUCAUGCAUUGGAGAAGGAAAUGGCAACCCAUUCCAGUGUUCUUGCCUGGAGAAUCCCAGGGAUGGAGGAGCCUGGUGGGCUGCCGUCUCUGGGGUCGCACAGAGUCAGACAUGACUGAAGCGGCUUAGCAGCAGCAGCAGGAGACAAAGCUACAUCAGAACACAAGGAAAAUAUAAUAAAUAAUCAUGAUACCAAGCCAAACAAAUCCAAAGAAACCUCCAGGAAACAAAAAUGAGCAAGUGUGCCAAGAGGUUUUACAGAUUUCAGAAUGCCAAAUAUUCGGGAUUUCUUUUUUGAUUUCUUUGGGGGUGAGUUUGUGACUAUGGUACAUGAUGUGCUAAGUCAAGAGACCAGCAGGACGAGUAUUACUCCUGCUUGCUUGGCGAGCUCCUGCCUCUGAAGCAUAAACUGGAGCAUACAGGUUUGUUCAGUGAUUUUCUGAUUCACGUCAUUAACUUGGUGGAUUUUUCCUAUUUGGCCAGUUUAAUUUAUAUAGGACUCAUAAGA